UACGAAGGGGGCUAGCGUUGUUCGGAAUCACUGGGCGUAAAGGGCGCGUAGGCGGCUUUAUAAGUCGGGGGUGAAAGCCUGUGGCUCAACCCACAGAAUUGCCCUUCGAUACUGUAGAGCUUGAGACCGGAAGAGGUAAGUGGAACUGCGAGUGUAGAGGUGAAAUUCGUAGAUAUUCGCAAGAACACCAGUGGCGAAGGCGGCUUACUGGUCCGGUUCUGACGCUGAGGCGCGAAAGCGUGGGGAGCAAACAGG
rnacentral:rRNA from 1 species